CUACAAUCUGAGAGGCUAGCCACAUGCUCCUGCUGCCGUGCCUUCUCUGUUAUGAUGGACUGAAUACCUUCUGGAACUGAAAGAAGAAUAGUUCUGGUUGCUUUGUUUUGCUGUGUUUGAAGAUUUGCUUCUAAUAAAUAGUCAUAAGCAAUUUGAAGCCUUUCCUUUUGUUAGUCCUAUGGGAAAGCAAUGUCCUCCCUACAGUGAGCUGAUGUGAAGAGUGCCCACAUCGUUACUGAACACCAUGGCUGGAAUAUUGAGUGGGGAACUCCGUACAUCAUAAGCAGAAUGAACAACAUAGCCACAGGGAAGGCAGAUCCAUUCAUAACAAAUCAACAACAUUUCAGUGGAAAUUGGAUCGCGAAGCUCGCCUUCAUCGUACUUUUGGGAAACUAACAUUUGCAGCUGGGAAUACUGAAGGCACAAACAUGAAGGCCCCCACCAGGCAGACACACCAAUGUUCCAGUUCCUCAGCAGCACCAUUAGCUAGUAGAGGAUUUGGUAGCAACACUUCAUACAGGACAGACAAAGCUGUCCCCAAAUAAACUCCAAGGUCAAAUAAAAUGUACAGGAAAACUCCUUUUAAAUUUUUGAAACGCAGUAUCAUGUAAAAAACAUAAAUCACAUGUAGACUGAACAGACUGCAAGGACUUGGGACUCAUUUUUACAUGGAAAUUACUGUGAUAUUUCUUAUAAAUGAAUAUAAUUGCUGCACGUAUCUUUUACCACUGAAUCUGAAUAAGAAAAAAUUAAAUUUGUGUUAGGAGUUUGUUUUCUGAUAUCAGAAAUCCAAGUUUAAGCAAAAGGUUUAUUGGCUCCUGUUAAACUGGUAUAGAUGGGAAAAUGAACUCAUGUGUUAUUUAGUCUGCUUGUCCUUCUGUCAGUCCAUUGAUAAUCUGUCUUUCUUUAAGUUGGUUCCAUCUCAAUGACAACUGAUGUUCUUUCUUUAAGAAAUAAGAAGAAGACAGGUGGUCAGUUAUGCAUAUGAACUCACAAGUCCCAUGCAAACUUGAACCAGACAAAAUCUCAGCACAGACAUGGAGAAGUGGGUAAGA